ACAAAUUCCCUCCAGAGGAGAAGGAAAAGGAACAAAUUUCUCCCGAGGAGAAGGGAAAGGAACGAAUUUCCUCCGUAAUGGGCAAGACGGAGCAAAGGAAUGGGAAACGGAAUGAGAAGGAAUUCCAAGUGGAAAAGGAGCGAAGAAAAAAAUGGAACCCAACCCAUCGAUCUCCCUAAGAUAGAGUGGCCGUGGUUGCUGUGGCGCUCGCGAUCUAGCAACUUCAGAGCAGAGGAAGAGAGGGGGCAUCGGCCCAGGAGCUGCGGUCGGGGACGAGGACGAGUCCAGCAGCUACAAGGAGAUGAUCAUGUCGCUCCUGACCAGCACGGGGCUGUUCAACAUCAGCGACUUCGUGCCGGCGCGGUCGUGGCUGCGCCAAGUUGCGCCGGGUGCACCGCCAGUUCGACGGGCUCAUUACGCAGCCGCUGGCGGAGCACGCGGCAACGGCCGAGGAGCGCGCCCGGGAGGAAGGCCGGCUGGACUUCGUGGACAGGCUCCGGUUGGUGGCCUGGAGUAGGCCACGGCGAGGCGGUCAACGCGAGCCGCGAGCAGAGGACGAAGCGAGGAUGAGCGGCGCGGGAUUGUCCGAACCUCUGGGGGAUGCCGUAGGUGGCGGAGGCUGUGGGCGGGGCCGUC
rnacentral:rRNA from 1 species